rnacentral:rRNA from 1 species
AUUGAACGCUGGCGGCAUGCUUUACACAUGCAAGUCGAACGGCAGCGCGGGCUUCGGCCUGGCGGCGAGUGGCGAACGGGUGAGUAAUACAUCGGAACGUGCCCAGUAGUGGGGGAUAGCUCGGCGAAAGCCGGAUUAAUACCGCAUACGACCUGAGGGUGAAAGCGGGGGAUCUUCGGACCUCGCGCUAUUGGAGUGGCCGAUGGCAGAUUAGCUAGUUGGUGGGGUAAAGGCCUACCAAGGCGACGAUCUGUAGCUGGUCUGAGAGGACGACCAGCCACACUGGGACUGAGACACGGCCCAGACUCCUACGGGAGGCAGCAGUGGGGAAUUUUGGACAAUGGGCGAAAGCCUGAUCCAGCGAUGCCGCGUGUGUGAUGAAGGCCUUCGGGUUGUAAAGCACUUUUGGCGGGAACGAAAAGGACUGUGCCAAUACCACGGUUCGAUGACGGUACCCGCAGAAUAAGCACCGGCUAACUACGUG